rnacentral:snRNA from 1 species
UUUUGUUACCGCGAAUAUUUGAUAAAAUUUGGAACAGUACAAAGAAGAUUAGCAUAAGGACGACACACUAAUCGAGAAAUUUAUGUUCAAAUUUU